UUUUUGGGCGGGAGUUUCUGGCUUCACGUAUCGACGUCUCUUCUUCACGCGCAGCGCGAGCACCGAGGAGGAGGGAAACAGAAAAUGGCGGACGGUGUCGACCACAUCGAUAUUUACGCCGAUGUAGAAGAGGAAUUUAAUCAGGAGUCAGAUUAUCCUGUUCAUGAGCAGAUUGACCUGUAUGAUGAUGUCAUGUCACCAUCUGCCAACAACGGGGACGCACCUGAAGACCGAGAUUAUCUGGACAACCUGCCUGUGCCGGGAGGAUCCGAGGGGAACAAAGGAGCUGCGCCGAACGUCGUCUACACCUACACUGGCAAACGAAUCGCUCUGUACAUCGGCAACCUCACAUGGUGGACCACUGACGAAGAUUUGACCGAUGCUAUUCACUCAGUAGGCAUCAAUGAUGUGCUGGAGAUCAAGUUUUUUGAGAAUCGAGCAAAUGGACAGUCAAAAGGGUUUGCUCUGGUCUGCGUGGGUUCAGACUCCUCGUCCAGGAAGCUGAUGGACCUGCUGUCCAAACGGGAGCUGCACGGACAAAACCCAAUCAUCACUCCUUGCAACAAACAGUCGCUCAGCCAGUUUGAGAUGCAGUCGCGAAAAAGCAUACAGUCUGGGCAGAUGUCCGGAGAGGGGAAGGCAGGGCCUCCAGGCUCAGGAUCUCGAAGUGGCUUCCCUCUUGGCAAGAAUCGAGGGCGCUUUCCCACCCCACCUGGCCCGGGAGGAGACCGCUUUCCUGGACCAGGUGGACCUGGUGGACCUCCACCACACUUCCCAGGUAUGCAAGGCCCGCCGCGUCCUCCCUCAGGUCCACCUGGGCCUCCAGGACCCCCUGGCCCGCCUCCACCUGGGCAAGGUCUGCUGCCGCCCCUCAGAGGUCCUCCCAACAGAGGAGACCGUCCUCCUCCACCCGUCAUGUUUCCUGGUCAGUUUGGUCAGCCUCCUAUGGGUCCGAUGCCUCCUGGCCCGCCCCCACCUGGAUUCGGGCCUCCCCCAGGCCCCCCUCCACCUCAGCAGGGUCUGCCCCCUCCGGGACCCUUCCAUCCCCGUCCACCUGGGCCCUUAGGACCCCCGCUUGGCCUCGCACCUCCACCUCACAUGCAGGGACCCCCGCCUGGAGGUCCACCUCCGGCCCCUCACGUCAACCCGGCCUUCUUCCCACCGCCUGGAAACAACAACAUGCCAUCGUCCGACAGCAGGGGCCCACCGCCGGGUGAACUGUACGGCCGCCCACCUCCAUACGACAGAGACUUCGGCCCUGGCGGCAGUAACUUCAGACCCCCUGUAGUAUGUGGCUUUGAGCCCUGGAUAAACGAAGGGUUGGUUGAUGUGAAAAACUCUGGCCGGCACUUGCACGGUACAAGUGAUCAAGGGGACAUGGAUUCGUCUCGCGCUCCUCUGAGUGAAGCUGAGUUUGAGGAGAUCAUGAAUCGUAACAGAGCGAUAUCCAGCAGUGCUAUCUCGAGGGCAGUGUCAGAUGCGAGUGCAGCUGAUUACGGCAGUGCUAUAGAGACUCUGGUGACCGCCAUCUCUCUGAUCAAGCAGUCGAAGGUUUCUGCUGACGACCGCUGCAAAGUCCUCAUCAGCUCACUGCAGGACUGCUUGCAUGGAAUCGAGUCCAAAUCCUAUGGCUCUGCGUCGAGACGGGAACGGUCCAGGGAGAGGGACCACAGUCACUCUCGUGAGAAGCAUCGCCGCAAGUCUCGCAGCCGAGACCGACACGAGGACUAUUACAGAGAGCGCAGCCGCGAGAGGGACCGUCAUCGUGAGAGAGACCGUGACCGCGAGAGAGACAGAGAACGUGAGCGGGAGUAUCGCCGUUAGUUGGAGAGGAAGGUGUGUAUCCUGUUUGUCUCCCUGUCUUUGUUUUUCUCCCAUCUUUCUUAAGGAUUCAGAUGUACAUGCAUCUUAUCCUGCAGAGGUCGGGACCACAGGUACGUGAUCAGAAAAGCGUGAUCGGAGUACUCUGAUCCUUAAAACUUGUGUACCUGGUCUUGAAGCCGUUUAAUGUGCAAUAUCAGCUCCAGCAACCAUAAACUGUCCCACAAUUGUUGAUGAUAUCCAGUUUGUCUUUGAAAGGAUUUUGUGUAUUUCAGCAUUUUAUUUAAAAAAAAUCAAAAUGCAUUUGCAUUUUAAAAUGCAAGUUAUUGCACUUAUUUGUCCAUUUAACUGAGAUUUGCUGCUACUUUUGAGAUUAUGCCAAUGUCAAACAACACUUCCCUCCUUAUUUUACCUAAUUGACCAAUUGCUUGCCAAAAAAAAUUAAAUUCAGGAUAUUUCAUGCCUUUAGAAUUGCGAU